UACGGGGGGAGCCAGCGUUGUUCGGAUUUACUGGGCGUAAAGGGCGCGUAGGCGGCCUGUGCAAGUCAGUUGUGAAAUCUCCGAGCUUAACUCGGAACGGUCAACUGAUACUGCUCGGCUAGAGUGCGGAAGGGGCAACUGGAAUUCUUGGUGUAGCGGUGAAAUGCGUAGAUAUCAAGAGGAACACCUGCGGCGAAGGCGGGUUGCUGGGCCGACACUGACGCUGAGGCGCGAAAGCUAGGGGAGCGAACGGG
rnacentral:rRNA from 1 species